GGGGUUUUUUAAAAUGCUGGGGGUGGGAAGAAAAGCCCUUGUCCCCCCCCCCCAGCCUUCAGAAGAGGUCGGGGGACAGACUGUCCCCGGACCUGGUCUGAAGUCGGUUUCCCUAGGAACGCAUUAAUUGAUUUUCAAUGCAUUCCUAUGGGAAACCGUGCAUCGCAAGACGAAAAACUCGCAAGAAGAAAAAACUUGCGGAACGAAUUAAUUUCGUCUUGCGAGGCACCACUGUAC